rnacentral:rRNA from 1 species
AUUGAACGCUGGCGGCAGGCCUAACACAUGCAAGUCGAGCGGAGAGGAGGACGGGUGAGUAAUGCCGAGGAAUCUGCCUGGUAGUGGGGGAUAACGUCGGGAGACGGGCGCUAAUACCGCAUGCUAUAAGAGGAGCCUAGGUCGGAUUAGAUGGUUGGUGGGGUAAAGGCCUACCAAGGCGACGAUCCGAAACUGGGCUGAGAGGAUGAUCAGUCACACUGGAACUGAGACACGGUCCAGACUCCUACGGGAGGCAGCAGUGGGGAAUAUUGGACAAUGGGCGAAAGCCUGAUCCAGCCAUGCCGCGUGUGUGAAGAAGGUCUUCGGAUUGUAAAGCACUUUAAGUUGGGAGGCGUUACCAACAGAAUAAGCACCGGCUAACUUCGUGCCAGCAGCCGCGGUAAUUC